rnacentral:rRNA from 1 species
AAACGCUGGCGGCGUGCCAUACAUGCAGUCGAGCGGCCUGCCUCGUGCAGGACAGCGGCGAACGGGUGAGUACACGUGGGUAACCUGCCCUCAAGACCGGGAUAACUCCGGGAAACCGGAGCUAAUACCGGAUAACCUCCCUCUCCGCAUGGAGAGGGAGUAAAAGGCCUCGCGCCACUUGAGGAUGGGCCCGCGGCGCAUUAGCUAGUUGGUGGGGUAAUGGCCUACCAAGGCGACGAUGCGUAGCCGGCCUGAGAGGGUGACCGGCCACACUGGGACUGAGACACGGCCCAGACUCCUACGGGAGGCAGCAGUAGGGAAUUC